rnacentral:rRNA from 1 species
UACGUAGGUGGCAAGCGUUGUCCGGAUUUAUUGGGGGUAAAGGGUGCGUAGGCGGCUAUGUAAGUGAGUGCUGAAAUAUCCCGGCUUAACCGGGAGGGUGGCAUUGAUACUGCGGGGCUAGAGUACAGAUGAGGUAGGCGGAAUUGACGGUGUAGCGGUGAAAUGCUUAGAUAUCGUCAAGAACACCUAUAGCGAAGGCAGCUUACUAGGCUGUAACUGACGCUGAGGCACGAAAGUGUGGGGAUCAAACAGG